UACGAAGGGGGCUAGCGUUGUUCGGAAUUACUGGGCGUAAAGCGUGCGCAGGCGGUUUCUCAAGUCAGGGGUGAAAGCCCGGAGCUCAACUCCGGAAUUGCCUUUGAAACUGUGAAGCUAGAGUGCGGGAGAGGUGAGUGGAAUUCCCAGUGUAGAGGUGAAAUUCGUAGAUAUUCGCAAGAACACCAGUGGCGAAGGCGGCUCACUGGCCCGAUACUGACGCUGAGGCACGAAAGCGUGGGGAGCAAACAGG
rnacentral:rRNA from 1 species